GUACUUGCUUCGGCAGUACAUAUACUAAAAUUGGAACGAUACAGAGAAGAUUAGCAGGGCAGAUUAGCAUCCUUGCGCAGGGGCCAUCCCCUGCGCAAGGAUGACACGCAAAAUCGUGAAGCGUUCCACAUUUUU
rnacentral:snRNA from 1 species